GGGGAUGACAGGUUUCGACGGAACAGGUCAGCGCCGAGUGGCGAGCCGAGACGCGACUCUCGUAAAACAGCGCACAGCACGCAAGUGCGAACGUCAACUGGAACGCCGUUCCGAUGGCUGCCUAACCGCAGUCUGAAGACAGCGUCCGGCCUCUAGACAGGCCGGCGUCGCUCGCAGCCCCGCGUUGGUGGGUGGCGAAGCGGCGUGAUAAAGCCAACGGGCGCCGCGCCGAGGUUCGUAGGCGAUAAAGCGCUGGCAGACAGCCGAAAACACGAACUGGCGGGUCGUUAACGCCGUGGCCGGUGGUGCGACCCGCGAGAGCAAAACGGUCACUACGCUCGUAGUCAUUCGGUCUCGGCAGGUUUCGGACCCGGGUUCGAUUCCCGGCAUCUCCAUCC
rnacentral:tmRNA from 1 species